GAUGAACGCUGGCGGCGUGCCUAAUACAUGCAAGUCGAGCGAACAGACGAGGAGCUUGCUCCUCUGCCGUUAGCGGCGGACGGGCGAGUAACACGUGGAUAACCUACCUAUAAGACUGGGAUAACUUCGGGAAACCGCAGCUAAUACCGGCUCAUAUAUUGAACCGCAUGGUUCAAUAGUUAAUGACGGCUUUGCUGUCACUUAUAGAUGGAUCCGCGCCGCAUUAGCUAGUUGGUAAGGUAACGGCUUACCAAGGCAACGAUGCGUAGCCGACCUGAGAGGGUGAUCGGCCACACUGGAACUGAGACACGGUCCAGACUCCUACGGGAGGCAGCAGUAGGGAAUCUUCCGCAAUGGGCGAAAGCUUGACGGAGCAACACCGCGUGAGUGAUGAAGGUCUUCGGAUCGUAAAGCUCUGUUAUUAGGGAAGAACAAAUGUGUAAGUAACUAUGCACGUCUUGACGGUACCUAAUCAGAAAGCCACGGCUAACUACGUG
rnacentral:rRNA from 1 species